AGGACGAACGCUGGCGGCGUGCUUAACACAUGCAAGUCGAGCGGAAAGGCCCUUCGGGGUACUCGAGCGGCGAACGGGUGAGUAACACGUGAGCAACCUGCCCUUAGCUUCGGGAUAGCUCCGGGAAACCGGAAUUAAUACCGAAUAUGACUGCGGCUGACAUCAGCCACGGUGGAAAGUUUUCGGCUAGGGAUGGACUCGCGGCCUAUCAGCUAGUUGGUGAGGUAACGGCCCACGAAGGCGACGACGGGUA
rnacentral:rRNA from 1 species